rnacentral:misc_RNA from 1 species
CAACCCUCAAGCCCUGCUUGGUGUUGGGGCAUUACCCGGUCACACGGGUAAGCCCUGAAAUUUAGUGGCGAGCUCGCCAGGACUCCGAGCGCAGUAGUUAAACCCUCGCUCUGGAUCGUACUGGCGCGGCCCUGCCGUAAAACCCCCAACUUCUGAAA